rnacentral:rRNA from 1 species
UACGGAGGGUGCAAGCGUUGCUCGGAAUCACUGGGCGUAAAGCGACCGCAGGCGGCCUGACAAGUCGGAUGUGAAAGCCCUGGGCUCAACUCAGGAAUUGCAUUCGAAACUGGUAGGCUCGAGUACGGGAGAGGAGAGUGGAAUUCCUGGUGUAGCGGUGAAAUGCGCAGAUAUCAGGAAGAACACCCGUGGCUAAGGCGGCUCUCUAGUACGGUACUGACGCUGAGACGCGAAAGCGUGGGGAGCGAACAGG